rnacentral:rRNA from 1 species
UACACUCUGCGGGAGGCAGCAGUGGGGAAUAUUGGACAAUGGGCGCAAGCCUGAUCCAGCCAUGCCGCGUGAGUGAUGAAGGCCCUAGGGUUGUAAAGCUCUUUCACCGGUGAAGAUAAUGACGGUAACCGGAGAAGAAGCCCCGGCUAACUUCGUGCCAGCAGCCGCGGUAAUACGAAGGGGGCUAGCGUUGUUCGGAUUUACUGGGCGUAAAGCGCACGUAGGCGGACUAUUAAGUCAGGGGUGAAAUCCCGGGGCUCAACCCCGGAACUGCCUUUGAUACUGGUAGUCUUGAGUUCGAGAGAGGUGAGUGGAAUUCCGAGUGUAGAGGUGAAAUUCGUAGAUAUUCGGAGGAACACCAGUGGCGAAGGCGGCUCACUGGCUCGAUACUGACGCUGAGGUGCGAAAGCGUGGGGAGCAAACAGGAUUAGAAACCCCAGUAGUCCCAUGA